rnacentral:rRNA from 1 species
UACGGAGGAUCCAAGCGUUAUCCGGAUUUAUUGGGUUUAAAGGGUGCGUAGGCGGAAUGAUAAGUCAGUGGUGAAAGCCCUUCGCUUAACGAAGGAACUGCCAUUGAUACUGUCAAUCUUGAGUACAUUUGAUGUGGGCGGAAUGUGUCAUGUAGCGGUGAAAUGCUUAGAUAUGACACAGAACACCGAUUGCGAAGGCAGCUCACAAAACUGUAAACUGACGCUGAGGCACGAAAGCGUGGGUAUCAAACAGG